UACGGGGGGAGCAAGCGUUGUCCGGAAUCCUUGGGCGUAAAGAGCUCGUAGGCGGCUCAGUAAGUCGGGUGUGAAACCUCCAGGCUCAACCUGGAGACGCCACCCGAUACUGCUGUGGCUAGAGUCCAGUAGGGGAGUGUGGAAUUCCCGGUGUAGCGGUGAAAUGCGCAGAUAUCGGGAGGAACACCAGCGGCGAAGGCGGCACUCUGGGCUGGUACUGACGCUGAGGAGCGAAAGCGUGGGUAGCAAACAGG
rnacentral:rRNA from 1 species